GAGGGUAUAGCAGUGGCAGAAUGCAUGCUUAGCAUGCAUGAGGUCCUGGGUUCAAUCCCCAGUACCUCCA
rnacentral:tRNA from 1 species